rnacentral:pre_miRNA from 1 species
CAGUUCUGGGGUCUCAGAAGGCAGUGUUCUUUGGGCAUCUCCACCAUGGCCUGGGUUCUGGUCUUCCUCACUCAGGAUACAGGUGA